rnacentral:rRNA from 1 species
UACAGAGGUCUCAAGCGUUGUUCGGAUUCAUUGGGCGUAAAGGGUGCGUAGGUGGCGGGGUUAGUCAGGUGUGAAAUCUCGGAGCUCAACUCCGAAACUGCACUUGAUACUGCCUUGCUAGAGUACUGGAGAGGAGAUUGGAAUUUACGGUGUAGCAGAGAAAUGCGUAGAUAUCGUAAGGAAGACCAGUGGCGAAGGCGAAUCUCUGGACAGUUACUGACACUGAGGCACGAAGGCCAGGGGAGCAAACGGG